AUGCUCUCUUAAGCAGCACAUACACUAAAAUUGGAAUGAUACAGAGAAGAUUAGCAUGGCCCCGGCACAAGGAUGACACACAAAUUUAUGAGGCGUUUCAUAUUUUU
rnacentral:snRNA from 1 species